rnacentral:rRNA from 1 species
AGGACGAACGCUGGCGGCGUGCUUAACACAUGCAAGUCGAGCGGAAAGGCCCUUCGGGGUACUCGAGCGGCGAACGGGUGAGUAACACGUGAGCAAUCUGCCCUUAGCUCCGGGAUAGCUCCGGGAAACCGGAAUUAAUACCGGAUAUGACUAUGGCCGACAUCAGCCAUGGUGGAAAGUUUUUCGGCUAGGGAUGAGCUCGCGGCCUAUCAGCUAGUUGGUGGGGCAACGGCCCACCAAGGCGACGACGGGUAGCCGGCCUGAGAGGGCGACCGGCCACACUGGGACUGAGACACGGCCCAGACUCCUACGGGAGGCAGCAGUGGGGAAUAUUGCGCAAUGGGCGAAAGCCUGACGCAGCGACGCCGCGUGGGGGAAGAAGGCCUUCGGGUUGUAAACCCCUUUCAGCAGGGACGAAGCGAGAGUGACGGUACCUGCAGAAGAAGCGCCGGCUAACUACGUGCCAGCAGCCGC